GCGCGCAGGCGAGAAUACUUUACAAUGUGCGAAAGCACGAUAAGGGAACUCUGAGUGCCUCCUAAGGAGGCUGUUCAGGUGUCUAAAAGCACCUGAAGGAAGGGCUGGGUAAGACCGGUGCCAGCCGCCGCGGUAACACCGGCAGCCCAAGUGGUAGCCACGUUUAUUGGGUCUAAAGCGUCCGUAGCCGGCUGGGUAAGUUCCUUGGGAAAUUUGGCUGCUUAACAGUCAAGCUUUCAGGGAAUACUGCCCGGCUUGGGACCGGGAGAGGUCAGAGGUACUCCAGGGGUAGGGGUGAAAUCCAUUAAUCCUUGGGGGACCACCGGUAGCGAAGGCGUCUGACCAGACCGGGUCCGACGGUGAGGGACGAAGGCUAGGGGCGCGAACCGGAUUAGAUACCCCCGUAGU
rnacentral:rRNA from 1 species